UACGUAGGGUGCGAGCGUUAAUCGGAAUCACUGGGCGUAAAGCGUACGCAGGCGGACCGUUAAGUCGGGUGUGAAAGCCCGGGGCUCAACCCCGGAACUGCAUUCGAUACUGGCGGUCUUGAAUACGGGAGAGGUGAGUGGAAUUCCUGGUGUAGAGGUGAAAUUCGUAGAUAUCAGGAGGAACACCGGUGGCGAAAGCGGCUCACUGGCCCGAUAUUGACGCUCAUGUACGAAAGCGUGGGGAGCAAACAGG
rnacentral:rRNA from 1 species